GGAGUUUGGACCGUGUCUCAGUUCCAAUGUGGGGGACCUUCCUCUCAGAACCCCUACUGAUCGUCGGCUCGGUGGGCCGUUACCCCGCCGACUGCCUAAUCAGACGCAUCCCCAUCCCUUAGCGACAAGUCUUUGCUUCAUCUCAGAUGUCAUCAACGAAGAACAUAGGGUAUUAAUCCGCAUUUCUACGGGCUAUGCCCUACUAAGGGGAAGGUUGGAUACGCGUUACUCACCCGUGCGCCGGUCGCCAUCAAUCUUAGCAAGCUAAGAUCAUGCUGCCCCUCGACUUGCAUGUGUUAAGCCUGUAGCUAGCGUUCAUC
rnacentral:rRNA from 1 species